rnacentral:rRNA from 1 species
UGCAGAGGUCCCAAGCGUUGUUCGGAUUCACUGGGCGUAAAGGGUGCGUAGGCGGUCGGGUAAGUCUGACGUGAAAUCUUCAAGCUCAACUUGGAAACUGCGUCGGAUACUAUUCGGCUAGAGGAAUGGAGGGGAGACUGGAAUACUUGGUGUAGCAGUGAAAUGCGUAGAUAUCAAGUGGAACACCAGUGGCGAAGGCGAGUCUCUGGACAUUUCCUGACGCUGAGGCACGAAAGCCAGGGGAGCAAACGGG